rnacentral:rRNA from 1 species
UACGUAGGUGGCAAGCGUUGUCCGGAAUUACUGGGCGUAAAGGGCUUGUAGGUGGUUUGUCGCGUUGUUCGUGAAAUGCCACAACUCAAUUGUGGGCGUGCGGGCGAUACGGGCAGACUGGAGUACUGCAGGGGAGACUGGAAUUCCUGGUGUAGCGGUGGAAUGCGCAGAUAUCAGGAGGAACACCGGUGGCGAAGGCGGGUCUCUGGGCAGUAACUGACGCUGAGGAGCGAAAGCGUGGGGAGCGAACAGG